rnacentral:rRNA from 1 species
CAUACUUCCAAGAAAAGCUUGCACUGUCAUAAACAAAGAAUGCCUGUACCAUAACCGACACAGGUGGGUAGGUAGAGUAUACUAAGGGGCGCGAGAUAACUCUCUCUAAGGAACUCGGCAAAAUGACUCCGUAACUUCGGGAGAAGGAGUGCCUUAUUUCUAAGGUUGCAAUAACAAGAUCCAAGCAACUGUUUACCAAAAACACAGGUCUCCGCUAAGUCGUAAGACGAUGUAUGGGGGCUGACGCCUGCCCAGUGCCAGAAGGUUAAAGAAGUUGGUUAGCAUUAGCGAAGCUGAUAACUGAAGCCCUGGUGAACGGCGGCCGUAACAAUAACGGUCCUAAGGUAGCGAAAUUCCUUGUCGGGUAAGUUCCGACCCGCACGAAAGGCGUAAUGAUUUGGAUACUGUCUCGGAGAGGGGCUCGGUGAAAUAGACUUGUCUGUGAAGAUGCGGACUACCUGCACCUGGACAGAAAGACCCUAUGAAGCUUUACUGUAACUUGAGAUUGAAAUUGGACUUUAUUUGCGCAGUAUAGGUGGGAGGCGUUGAGAAUAAUCUUGCGGGAUUGUUGGAGCCAUCAGUGAGAUACCACUCUUGUAAUGUUAGAUUUCUAACUUUGUAUCAUUAUCUGGUCAAAGAACAGUUUCAGGCGGGCAGUUUGACUGGGGCGGUCGCCUCCCAAAGGGUAACGGAGGCGCACAAAGGUUUCCUCUGAACGGGUAGAAAUCGUAUCUAGAGUGUAAAGGCAUAAGGAAGCUUGACUGUGAGACCUACAAGUCGAGCAGGGACGAAAGUCGGUCUUAGUGAUCUGACGGUGCUGAGUGGAAAGGCCGUCACUCAACGGAUAAAAGUUACUCUAAGGAUAACAGGCUGAUCUCCCCCAAGAGUUCACAUCGACGGGGAGGUUUGGCACCUCGAUGUCGGCUCAUCGCAUCCUGGGGCGGUAGUCCGUCCCAAGGGUUGGGCUGUUCGCCCAUGAAAGCGGUACGCGAGCUGGGUUCAGAACGUCGUGAGACAGUUCGGUCCAUAUCCGGUGUAGGCGUUAGAAUAUUGAGAGGAGCCUUCUCUAGUACGAGAGGACCGAGAAGGACAUACCUCUGGUGUACCAGUUAUCGUGCCAACGGUAAACGCUGGGUAGCUAUGUAUGGAGUGGAUAACCGCUGAAAGCAUCUAAGUGGGAAGCCCACCUCAAGAUAAGUAUUCAC